GGCGUGUUGACAGAUUGGUUAUGUAGCGGACUGCAAAUCCGUAUAACCCGGUUCGAUUCCGGGAUACGCCU
rnacentral:tRNA from 1 species